CAGCAGAUUCCUACCCCUAAGAUAAAAGUUCUUCAUUUUUCCUCAUGUUUUUCCUGAAAGGUUCACUGAGAGUGUGCUAUCACUAGGAUUUAUUGGACCUGUGAAAUGUUUGCUGUGAAGAUGACUUGCACCUGGACAUCUGUCUGAGGCAUCCUAGGCAUUGAUUAUUCUGUUAUAAAUGUGUGGUGCUGAACAGAGAUUAAGCCUUACCAGAGCACAGCUUCUCCCCCCAACAGAGAGGGGAUGAACAGGAAUUGCAAGCUUCAAAGAGGCAGGUCUAAUGCUGCCCUGACUGUUGAGGCUGGAGAAAUCAGCGGGUGAUCAAGGAAGCACUUAAAGGUGAUGGGCUGCUUCUUCAAAAAGCACUUGCAUAAAUAAACCUGCAGCACAGGGCAGAAGGGAAAUGAAGCUAGAAAUCUGGCUGAGUGCCUGCAGAUGCCAGGCCCAAGGCAGUGUUACUGCUAAGUGGGAACAGGAGGAAGCAAUUGUACGUUUUGCCUUCCUCUCUUCCCUUUGGAUAUGCAAGGGAAAACCAAUGAGCCCAUUCAAUAGAAAACCGGUGAACACUGGCAGCAAGAGGUAUUCCUUUCUCCCAGGAGAUCCCAAAUACUGCAAGGUCAGACUAAAGCUUAACUCUCCCUCCAGCCCUGCCUAUGUCAGAUGAGCUCCCACCUCCCCGUUUUUUUCCUGUCAAAGUCAUUGCUCCGGCUGUAGCACAUGAAGCACUUUACAGGAAGAUUAUUUCAACUUAAUUUUGCAUAUUCUUUAGAAAUCUGGAUGGUUCAGAUAGCAGAACAACACACCGAGGUCUCCAGCUGCAUGAAGGCAUCAACUCUUCCCAGCAGGCAGAAGCACAGAUAGGGCAAGGGCUCUUGGAACAUACGGAGACCAAAACUCUACAGAAAAUGAAAAACGCAUGGGCAAUAAGAAAUGAUUAGGGACAAUUUAAGUAUAUAUGACAACAAAGCUACUAGAACAAAAGCCAGCUGAAGGGAGAUUAUUAUAAUGAUUGUGGUGUGCAAGCAGAAGAGCAUGGAGAAGUAGGAGGUGCAAAGGACCAAGGGAACAUUAGGAUGACUGUACAAGCUGGCACCAUGCUGAAUGAAAAAGGGUACACUGUAAGUAACAAGAAUGAUUUAAGUAAAAACAAUAAAUGAAAGAUUUUCAGAAAAUCUGGAGUGGAAGAAAUCAAGUCAGAUUUGGAUGUCACCAGAUAUCACCAAAUUAAUAAAACAGGUAGAGCUGCUUUAAGUAUGCCAUUGAUUAGACCUGGCAUUGAUAUCUUACCAAUCAUAGGGCAGGAUUUCAGUUUUCUAACUUCCUAAAGUAUUUCCUUCAGGCUGUACAUGAUGCUGCAUUUAAAGAAGAAAAAGAGCAGGUUUUCUUUUUCCUUCUUUUUUUUUUUUUUUUCCGCCUCUUUUUUUGAGCUUUGAUGUAAGGUAAAAUCACUUCAUUUAGUUUGUCUCCCAUGGCUCCCUUCUAUAUGGCAUCAAAAGAUACUUCCAGAAGUGCUGAGGUUUAAUGAUCUGACACUGCUCCCACUGUUAAAAUUCCCAUUGACUUCAGGUUCUAAAUAAGCUAAUGAAUAGGGUGAAAAAUAAGCACAAGAUAUGUGAAAGUGAAGCUGUAACCAAUGGGUGUUUUCAUUUUGGUUCCAGUAGAAAAAGGUUUAAAAUAAAAAUGAAAGCCAGGUUUCCCCGUUCCUAGAUGAGUGCCUGGGCACUCAGACUCUCAGUCAUUUGGGAUGUGUUCUACUUAUUUGCUUUCUGCCAAUCAAGCAAGUAGAGAAGAAAACUUGAUUGCAGUUCAGGAGAGAAUAGGACAUUUCUGCAGUAACAAUACCAACAAAAAAUGCAGUGAUGAGCAAGCCACCUUCAGCAGCUCACUUUGUAUUUGUCUACCUCUGUUUGCAUGUGUCCUAGCAGACAUGAACACACCUUUAUGGUGCACAACACACACUGUCUAAGGCCUCUAAUCAAAAUAGCAUUUCGUCCCUCAGCACCUUUUGUAGGAUAAGUUCCUUUUCUUGCUGUCUUUGUGCCAUGAUAGA